CUCGCGCUGUUAGCGGCCCUGAUUGGCCCGCUGAGCUGGCGGGAGGUGCCCGCGGCCGUGUGACGCCAGCGCGUACGUGGCGCAGAGCGUGCGCGGGAAGUUUAGGCCGCCGUUGCAGAGCGGCAGGAGGGGAGGGGGCGACGGCCCGAGAGGAUGGCAGGGCUGGCGGGGACUACGCUUCCCAGCGUGCAUUGCGGCCGCGCCGCACGCGGGGCUAUGGGCGGUGCCCGCCGGGACCUGUAGUUUAGGGGCUCGGCGGGGCCUCGCCGCGCGUUGCCCGCCGGGACGUGGAGCCUCGUUGCGGCGCCGGGCUGGGGCGUGGGGCAGUGGCGCGCGGCGCGCCUGCCCUCGGGAAGGAGGCGGCUGGAACGCGGCUGUAAAUAAACUUCUCCACCAGCCUGGGUGCUCUCCGCAUCACAAGGGUUCCCCAGCACUCUUGAGUGCCUGCAUGGGGCACCGGGUGGGGGCUCUGUACUGUGGCCAGUGUAAACCCACGACAUAGAGGCUGCAGCCGCAGUUCCAGGCCUUCCUGGGUGUGUGCAACAGCGCCCGUCGUAGCUGUGCACGCUGUGAAAAAUGGCUGAUGGAAGCCGAAAGUGAUGGUGUGAAAAUUAGUUUUCUUGGUAAAUAAAGGCAGGCUUGCAUCGGUUGUGGUUUGCCGAAAGCAGCUUGGAAGUGUGAGUGCUUUCAGAGGUCUUGGAAGCCAACGGAUGCCUUUUGGAGAGUAUUUUUUUUUGUGUACCUCAUGAUAGUUCAUGUCAAUUUCAUUACUUUUCUGGGCCUAACCCAGGGUCUGUGUAUGUGAGUAGAUGAUACACAGCAGUAGGAGAACUGAGGAAUUAUUUCCAUGUGUUACAUGUUCCUUAAGUUUCAUGUUAAAAUACAAGAAUGUUAAAUAUUCUUAAUCCUUCUCAGUUACAUGUGUGUACAGCAAAACUCCUGAGGAAAUACUUUUUGAUCCCUUUAUGUAUGUUAAAAAAAAAAAUAUUUAAAGUAGGUUUUUACUACACACAGCUUGCAGGCAGCCUUGCACAGCAGCUGAUGGAAAGCGUGUGCUCAGUUGGCAGAGAGAAAUUGUGUGUCACCACCAUGGCCUGUCACCCAGCCACAGCGUACAACCAGCUAUUGUGGAAGAUACUCAUGCUGUUAAUUGUCUGGCAGCUGUGUUGCAAGAGGGAGCUUCAUAUGUGCUGGUCGCAUUCCCCAGAGCAGCUUGGUGUAAGAUGAUGACUGUUGCCAGCCUACCAUUACUUGAACAACGAACGUAGUCCACUGCCUGUCAAGAUGUGUCUCUGUUGGCUGCUACAAACUGACUCCUAUUUUGAUCUUUUUCAUACUCUGUGGACGUUUGACUGAAGGGCUGUCUUACUCUCUAACUUGCAUGCUGGAGCUGAACGGCCCUUAAUAUACGAUGUAUUCUUUUCUUUUGAAUUUCCUAUUUAAGAAAUAAAUUAAUAGUAAUGACUCAAUACAUGCUGUCACCCGCAUUCUCACAGCAGAGGAAUCUAAAAACAUCCCCUGACUGCCAUGUGCUCUGCAGGAGAGACUUCUCCAGACAUCCUUAUGUGCAGUUCUUAGACCUGACAUGUAAUGCCUGUACCAUUCAGGUCCUCCUGAGCAGGAACACACACUUGCCAGUCUUUAUUAGGAGCUCUUCUGGGACUGAGCAGCUCUGCGUUCGAUCAGCUCAAAAGUUCUAUGAUUGUUAUUUUUUUUCUAGCGAACUGAAGUAUAUUUAACACAUAAGAAGCGGUUACUAUCCACAAAAUCUUGUCAAGAGGAAUACUAAGUUCAAGUACUGAUUAGAGCCUGUCUGUGUAGUUUCCCCUUGUUAUUUUUGUGAAGAGAACAAGGGCAUAGCAUGGUAACAGACUGGAAAACUGUAAGAUUGCUUUUGCUGUGAGCACCAACAGAACUGCCACUUCUCCCUUCAAAAUCUUUGAGUACUUUGAAUUUAAACCUUCUAAAAGAUGGAAGUCAAGGUCCAACCCCUAGAACAUAAGAAUCUGCUAAUGUGUGAGAAAGCUACAUACCUCCUUGUCCUCAUUAGAGUUUUACCCAAACUUGGUUAACUCACCCUGGAUCAUUUGUGCCACAACCAUUUCCACUUUACCCCACAGGCAGGGCUGCUGAAGGGGCUGGGGUCUCCAGGGUCUUUCUGUUUUCUGGCUGUCCUGCACACAUGUGGUGGUACCACAGAAGAGACAAUGACCAGUCCCUUCAGCUCUGCACCGAAGGGCUUUGUUAAUGUCAACAACCAUUUGAACAGGAACAAGAAUUAAUUUUAAUUGCCAAUAUUCUUACUGUAAACUAUUGAACCUUGGGGCCUAGUGUCUUUCAACGCCAUUUUGCUCUUUGAUAUAAUUCAUUAACUACCUGUUUGAGUGCUAAAAUUAGUUAACACAGAGUCCUAAGUGUGAGCGUUGUUUAAAUACAUAUUACUAGGCUAUUCAUAUCAUUCUAGGAUUAGUAGCCAUGUAUGGUAAUAGCAGAGUGUAGUCUAAGUUUAGAUGUAUGAGACAGCAUAUGUCUGAACUUGUCAGAGCCACUAUUAGCAUUUUUAAAUCCCCUGGGUAUGUACAAUUUCUCUUCUCUUCAUAAUGAAUAUGUAUAAAAUUGAGUAGGACUGCCAAGUAUUGGUGGCUCAUUUCUGGAUUUAUGUAUAUGAAUGGCAAAUACAAAACAAAGUAUCAAAAGAAGCAAGAAUACCAGCCAAGAAUCUCAUAUAUCUCAUGUGCAUUAUUCAGGCAGGAAGAGGCUCUUAAAAGAAAACAUCUGCAAUUAGUUAUAAUACUUUUGAAAUCAUUACAUGUCAGUAAAAAAACCACAACAUAUAUUGAAAAGAAUAUGUUUAAAUUUCAAAACAAUCUUAAGAAAUGCCACUGUUGUUUCGUUAUCUCUCGGGGGGUUAAUGAUGCCAGUAACUCUCACUGAGAGAACUGGCAUUUUUUAAUAACUUCUAUCACAAAAGUCAACCCACGCUGCUACAGUCUGAUAUGAAGGAAUAUCAUUUCCAAAACAAAAAUAGUUCUCCAAAACUUCUGAAUUUUUUCAUGCAUUGAAAUGUUGAGUUGUAUUACUUACAUUAGAAAUGACAUCUGCCUGUCACAGUCAAGGUGACCUAUAUGAUUUAUAAUUUUUUUAUCACUUUUGUGGUACUGCUAGUUUAAGGGUAUAAUUUUGUCUCUGUAUUCAGCUAUAAUGGUACCAGAUCAGGGCUUUGUUCUGUUAUCUUCUUGUAGAGGCCAAAAUUAGUAAUUUUUAUAAGAUUUUUGCAUUACUAGCCUCUGCUUCAGAGAGCCUAGAACAAAUACAUUGUAGAAGCAAUGUUGUUGGGAAGGAUGAGUUACAGAGAAAGAAUUGUGUGCUCACGUAUCGCAAGGUAAAGAUGAUUUUGUCUCUCAACGAGUUGUAAGAAUGUCUUCCAAGUCCAUUCCUACUGUGUUUCUGGAGGCAGUGCUUUCUUUAGCAAUAGAAUGAAGUAAGCUUGUUUCUUUGUUUUCUUGUACCUGAUGUUGUCAUUUAAACCAGCACGUGCUCCGUGAAAAAGCUGAUCUGAUGACAUUUUGCAGUCACUUUGUCCAGCUGUGAAUAGUGGCAGUGUCUGCAGCUGCAUGGGCAUGGGUGGAAGGAAGAUGCAGUUUUGCAGCCUUAUCCUCCAUCAGGAGGUCAUCAGUGUGCUUGCUGCCCAGACAGAACCACUGUGAGAGCGGGAACUCAACUCUCCCUCAAAACCUGUGUUGCCAAGCGGCAGAGAAACAGAUGAAGCAGCACCUACUGUAAUCAGCCACCACUGUGCGUGCCCAGUUUGUUGUCCCUUUGAGAUACACGAUGUUAUCCCUUCCACAUUUGCCAUUGUGAAUAAACCACAGAGGCUCAUUGCUCUCA